rnacentral:sRNA from 1 species
CCUCUAAUAAUAAUACGGACAGCUGUUGUCCCCAUGCAAGCCCCUUGCUUGCUUCGGACAUAUAAGCAGCGUGUUGAAAACUGUCUCGAGAUCCAGCCCAUUUCUCUCGGGGAGCGCUAUGUGUGCGUAGUUUCUUUUUUUUCUUUUUUCUUUUUCCAAAAAGGAACAGGGAUGGGUUGGUAAGGACAGUCAGUAACGGCUCAUACAAUUCUUAUCCACCGCUCGAAGGAUAUCUGAAUAUACAUAAUUACAUGGUUCUGCGAAUAUCCGAAGAAAAAAAAUUAUCUAUAACAUAGCCAGCCAUAUUACCUCUUCAUCUGGCCAUGGGCAUC